rnacentral:rRNA from 1 species
GGGUCAGUAGGUUGGUCGUGCCACCGGUACGUACUGGUCUCACUGAUUCCUCCUUCCUGAAGAACCGUAAUGCCAUUAAUUUGGUGUUGCGGGGAAACAGGACUGUUACUUUGAAAAAAUUAGAGUGUUUAAAGCAAGCUAACGCUUGAAUACAUUAGCAUGGAAUAAUGAAAUAGGACGAUCGAUCCUAUUUUGUUGGUUUCUAGGAUUGACGUAAUGAUUAAUAGAGUAGUUGGG